ACGGUAACAGGAAUCAGCUUGCUGAUUCGCUGACGAGUGGCGGACGGGUGAGUAAUGUCUGGGAAACUGCCUGAUGGAGGGGGAUAACUACUGGAAACGGUAGCUAAUACCGCAUAACGUCGCAAGACCAAAGAGGGGGACCUUCGGGCCUCUUGCCAUCGGAUGUGCCCAGAUGGGAUUAGCUAGUAGGUGGGGUAACGGCUCACCUAGGCGACGAUCCCUAGCUGGUCUGAGAGGAUGACCAGCCACACUGGAACUGAGACACGGUCCAGACUCCUACGGGAGGCAGCAGUGGGGAAUAUUGCACAAUGGGCGCAAGCCUGAUGCAGCCAUGCCGCGUGUAUGAAGAAGGCCUUCGGGUUGUAAAGUACUUUCAGCGGGGAGGAAGGGAGUAAAGUUAAUACCUUUACUCAUUGACGUUACCCGCAGAAGAAGCACCGGCUAACUCCGUGCCAGCAGCCGCGGUAAUACGGAGGGUGCAAGCGUUAAUCGGAAUUACUGGGCGUAAAGCGCACGCAGGCGGUUUGUUAAGUCAGAUGUGAAAUCCCCGGGCUCAACCUGGGAACUGCAUCUGAUACUGGCAAGCUUGAGUCUCGUAGAGGGGGGUAGAAUUCCAGGUGUAGCGGUGAAAUGCGU
rnacentral:rRNA from 1 species